rnacentral:rRNA from 1 species
GUGUCACCCUCUGUAGUCCUAUGGUUCGGAAGACCCCGUCUUCCUUCUGUAGCUCUACGUCUUUACACACACACUGUAGCGAUGUCUCAUGGAAUGUUUUUAUGCGUUUAACGCGAUACAAUACAACUUUCAGCAACGGAUCUCUUGGCUCUCGCAUCGAUGAAGAACGCAGCGAAAUGCGAUAAGUAAUGUGAAUUGCAGAAUUCAGUGAAUCAUCGAAUCUUUGAACGCACCUUGCGCCCCUUGGUUAUUCCUUGGAGCAUGCCUGUUUGAGUAUCAUGAACACCUCAACUCUCAUGGUCUUCCAUGAUGAGCUUGGACUUUGGGGGUUUGCUGGCCCUGCGGCCGGCUCCUCUCAAAUGAAUCAGCUUGCCAGUGUUUGGUGGCAUCACGGGUGUGAUAACUAUCUACGCUCGCGGUCGUCUGCCAGGUAACCCUCAGCGAUGAGGGUUCAUUGGAGCUCAUAAACGUCUCUCCUCGGCGAGGACAACUUUUGAACGUUCGAUCUCAAAUCAGGUAGGAUUACCCGCUGAACUUAAGCAUAUCAAUAAGCGGAAGGAAAAGAAACUAACAAGGAUUCCCCUAAUAACUGCGAGUGAAGCGGGAAGAGCUCAAAUUUAAAAUCUGGCGUGCCUCUGGUCGUCCGAAAUGUAAUUCUGGGAAGCGUUUUCCCGGUCGGACCGUGUAUAAUUGUCCUGGAACAGGGCGUCAUAGAGGGUGAGAAUCCGUGUAUAGACACGGACUACCGAUGCUUUGGAAG